CGAAAUCCCACCCACCCACCUCAUCGCUCCUCUCUCGCUCGUCUCUCCCUCUCCCCCGCACCACUUCUCGCCGCCGCCACCAGCACCACCACCGACGGCGCCCGAUCCCGCCUGAUUCCAGCGUCCUCCAGCGCGCCCAGCACACCACCGUGCCCCCUCUCAAUGCUCCUUCCUCCCAUCGGGCCAGAUCCGGCGCGCGUGUCCUCCAGCGGCCAAGCGUGACCCUGCCCAGCAGCUAGGGUUUGGGCCAGCACAUCGCCGGCGUGGCUCUGGCGUUGCUCCGGUGACUUAGAUCUAGCGCACCGUAGCCGCUCGAGCACCGGGACGCCAUGGAUGGGAAGGCUUCUUCCUCCUCUGUCCCGAUGCCAUGAACAACGCAGCUCCACCACCAGACCAUGGAGACGGAGCUCCUUCUCCCGCAUCACUCAUGGAGCCUCCCUCUCAGCGCCCGGAGCCCUAGAGAGAAUUCAAGGCCAUGGCCGGAGAGAGGAGCUGCUCCUAGUAUAGGACGCCAUGGAAGGUGCUGCUUUGAUGAGGAGAAACUGCUGUUGUAGGACGUCCUCCUCCCAUCCCCUACCCCCACACGUGGGUUAUGAUGAUAUUUCCAAGGAAAUAUACUGACCCUGAUGCGACAAAGGUGUCCAUUUUCCUUUUCUUAAACUUAUUUACUCUGUUUUUUGUUCUUCCUGUAGUUCCAGUUUCACAUUGCUGGUGUUUCAUGCAAUAUUCAUCAGAGCCUGCUUACAUGCCUUAUUAUUGAGUAACUUGAUUAGUAUUUCUGCCACUGUCCUAUCUCAGUAAACUGUUUGUUUUUUCAGUAGCUAAAAAAGAAAGUAAAUCUAUUAUAUCCUGGUAUUCUAGAAUUCCAGUCUCACAGAAGUUACUCUGUGUCCUGCUUUAGCUUGCAAACCUGAUGCUCUGCUGUCUGUUCUCAUUUCUUAACUUUGAAAUGUUUCAAACUUAAGAGUGCCCUCAUCCUCUAUUACAUCUGUAUGCACCUUGGUAAGAAAUAUAUUGGUCUUGUAAAUAUCAUUGGGAAGUACAUCUGCUUCUGUAUGUUCUUGCAAGCAUUAAAUGUUGCUGACAUUCUCACUAAAGAAUGUCCCUCCAGCACAUUCCUUUGAAAUGUGACCUUGAGUCAAGCUCCAAGAAGAUAUUCAACAGAUCUGCAUCUGCUCUAGAUGCUCAUGCACAAGAUACUAAGUUAUUGGUUGUGUUAUUCUGGUUGGUACUAUCUUAUAAACAUGUGGGGUAAUGAUACUGCUGGGACAAAUUUGAUGAAAUGUUGUACUGUUUGUUCAUUCUGUUGUGUUAUUUUGUGAUCCUGUGGUGUAAUGAUACUGUUGUGUUAUUUUGAGAAUUAUAUUAUUAUUACCAUUA